rnacentral:rRNA from 1 species
GUGAUGGAAAGUGGCGGACGGGUGAGUAACACGUAGGAAAUCUGCCCUUUAGCGGGGGACAACAGUUGGAAACGACUGCUAAUACCCCAUAUGAGGUAGGCUGAAAUGCUUAUCUUGAAAACUCCGGUGCUAAAGGAUGAGCCUGCGGCUGAUUAGAUAGUUGGCGGGGUAAAGGCCCACCAAGUCGACGAUCAGUAGCUGGUUUGAGAGGAUGAUCAGCCACAAUGGGACUGAGACACGGCCCAUACUCC